UACGGAGGGAGCUAGCGUUGUUCGGAAUUACUGGGCGUAAAGCGCACGUAGGCGGCUUUGUAAGUUAGAGGUGAAAGCCCGGGGCUCAACUCCGGAACUGCCUUUAAGACUGCAUCGCUUGAAUCCAGGAGAGGUGAGUGGAAUUCCGAGUGUAGAGGUGAAAUUCGUAGAUAUCAGGAGGAACACCAGCGGCGAAGGCGGCGCUCUGGGCCGGUACUGACACUGAGGAGCGAAAGCGUGGGUAGCAAACAGG
rnacentral:rRNA from 1 species